CACACACACACACACACACACACACACACACACACACACACACACACACACACACACACACACACACACACACACACCAUCUCCGAGAGACACACACGAUUCAAGAAUACUAGAAAGCCGAAAGUCUGGGUAUUGAAUAAAGCAUUGCGUCCUCUAACCAAGAAGCAGCAGAUGGGGGAGUGGCAGAUUUACAGACCAGUAAGAUUCUCCUUCGGCAAUGUGCAAUAGCUUCGCCUCUCCCUGAUCUCUUCCGAACGAGACCAGCUGACCAUUGUGGAACAAUAUCAGGAGAUGAACAGGACCCGGAGCCAAUAUCGACGAAAAGUCCUUGAGUUGUAUUCGACCCUUGAAUCCAGGACAAUCGCAAAUUCCCUUCGGGACCCCUGCCAGACCACCUGUUUCAGGAAU